rnacentral:lncRNA from 1 species
CUCCGUGGACAGGGAUCCUUCUAGAUAAGCGUGUUUGUUGUGCCGAGGCCAGAAGGUGACUGUGAUUUCGGAUCUAACCCGAGUAUGUGUUUAAUAAAAACCGGUUGCUUUGCCACCAUAGCACAGGAAGCUUCAGGAAAGCGGCACGAGCAAAAGCCAGCGGCCGUGCCCUCGAGGGCCUCCAUCCGGUCCAGGGACAGUCGGCCCUGGAAAGAGACAGGGCCACUUCCGGUUUGGCUGGCACGGUGGCUCUCCGGUUUCACGACGAGCAAACGCCAAAACAGUGUUGCAGCAGCAGACACAGGUGGAACAUUCGACGGCGGGCUGCUUCUUCGGAAGCCGAAGAGUCUGCGAUGGACGCUCCUUCGUGCGAGGCGCUGGCCUUGUGGCCACAAGGUCUCCAGCGCCGACGCCCUGCCUGGCGCACACAGGAGGGGCCCGGAAAAUGCCAAAUGACAUGUGGAGCUUCGGGGCCAGGGACUGGAUCUGAACCGCAGUUGUGACCUUCGCCACAGCUGUGGCCACGCUGGAUCCUUUAACCCGCUGUUCCAGGACUGGGAUCGAACCAGCGUCCCUGGUGCUGCAGAGAUGCUGCUGAUCCUGUCCUGCCAUGGUGGGAACUCCAAAGCUUGGUUUUAAGCCACAAAAACGAGAAUGUCAUGUCGUGUGACCUUACAAAAUUGCGAUGCAUUUGCAGGCUGGAGAGCAGAGCAGUGAGCACAAAUAGUCCGCACUUCAUGCGGCAACGUGGACGAUGGCUCGGCCAUCAUGUUUAGUGAAAGAAACCAGAAACUAUGAUUCCAUUGUCCAGGGUUCAAAGCCAGGCCAGACGGGUCUAUAUUCGUGGAGGUUGGGGAGCACACGGUAUUGGGAGGACGGGAGUGUGUGUGCACCUGACGUGCCAUGGCUUCACCCGGUGCCGUUACACGGGUGCCCAGUGGGUGCAAACCCACUGGGCUCAGAGUUUGUGCACUUUCUGUACCCGUGUCACCUUCAAUAAAAGCUCAGGCAGGUCCACCUCUACAGGUCCAAGGGCUCCGACAAGAAAACCCAGGCCCAGCAGGCUGACUAUUCCGUGUGGUUAGGGGUUGCUCAGGGAGGAAAGGGCACGAGGUGGGAAAAGGCCAGGCCUGCCCUCUGUCUCCUGGUGAACAUCGGGGGGCUCCCGGCUGACGUCAGAGUCCCCCAGCCCCUCCCCAAGGUCCUCCUGUACCAGCAUGCCGAGCGCCCAGCCCCAGCGACAGGAGAGGAGGAAGUCCCCACGGGUUUCUUUUUCUUGCCACCAAAGGGGCUGCAGGUAUUUGUUCCUGAAACUCACAACGUGCUGGUUUUACACAGAGUGUGAGAUGCUGCAGGGAGAAACGAAACGGAGGAUCUGGGGUCCGAUCGGGCGGCUGGGAGUGAUGCUGGGGGCUGGAGAGAGGGCCCCUCUGCUGGCCUGCAGAGAAGGGGCCACGGAGCUCAGAGUCGCCCUAAUCUGUUUAUACCCUCAGCCUGGGAUGGAGACCUCGUGGCUCUGUGUGGGGCUCUGUCUCCCCAGGCCUGGGGGACGGAUUCCAUCAUCAAAUGAUGCCUAGGGACCCCGGAGUGCACCAUGUGCCAUCUUUGCCUUGUCUUCCUCCAUUAUUUUAAAGCACCGAUCACGUCCCAGUAGCGGGACAUGUCGUGAGGUGUUUGGGCUUUUUCAGGAAAGCAAAACGGCGGGAGCACAUGCUUAUUUCUCCCUAAUUAGCCUCCCUCCCACCGUGAGCUCACGGGGAGGCUGUCCAGGCCUUGAGGACAGGCCCCGCCGGGUCCUUUACAUCCAAUGACACCAUCUAGAAGGAGUUCCUGUCACCAUCACUCGUGGGUGACUUGUACAUCAUCCGUGCCCCCAAGAACAGUCACGAGACAUUUUUAAAGCCUCUGGGAGCAAAGAAACCGACCACACGUACUCCCACCCAGAGAACUCGCCCUUCUCGGGGUGGCAAGAGCAAGUGAGAGGUGAAAGGAGAUAUAGGAAUUUUCUCUGAAACUCUCCUCUGUGCCCUUCGGUCUGGCUGCCUCGUGGGGCACUACGCAGAAACUGCCCACUGUUCUUGAAAUAGAAAGUGUUAUUUCUGAUCUUAUUUUUCCAGAAGGGGGUGGCUCAUGUGCUUGUUUUUUCCCCCCUGGCAGACAGUAGUUAAGCCAGAAAAAGUACUCAGGUCAACAAGAGCGUGUCCGAUGGCCCCACAUAAAGAGAGAUUUUCUGGGGCCCUCGGGGUGCUGGAGCUCAGCCAGCGACCUCUGUGGCUGCAGUCAGAGGUCAUGGAACCCCCGCUGGGCCCGAAAAUGAGCAAAGCAGGAAGGGUGGAGGGGUGGAGUGAAGCGCCCAGUGGACGGGGGACCCAGGGAGGCUGGGAAGCAGGUGUCAGGCAAGGGUUUGAGCCCACACCUGAGAAGAACUUGUGACGUGAGGUCUGAGGGCAUCUGAGUUAGGGAUUCUGGAGAGAGGGAAGGGAUGUGUGGCUUCCUGAAGCAGCAUGGAGGAGAAGAUCAGUGAGAGGAGGAAAUGAAGACGCUGAGCACAAAAUUCAGCUCUGAGCUUCCUGGCAGCCACGGCAAAAAGGGAGUAUGAUAAACUCUUCUGUACGAACAGCCAGGCAGGUCUUCCCUGCGGGUUUGGAAGUGACCUUGAAGGACAGAUGGACUUGGGAGGAGAGAGACAGAGUGAAAGAGAGGGCUUGUGAGCUGGGUGUUCAAACAUUCACUGAAUGAGGAAAGGAAACGGCAGGUCAGCAGCUUGCAUAACCCAGAGGCCCAAGGCUGGGAAACCUCACAGAAAGGCUCUUUUGUUGCUGUCACCGCAGCCCUGGAGGAUGGUGGUGGGCAUGUUGCUUUCCCUGCUCAAGAACACCAACCCCUCCCCCCCAUCCUUCUGUGUGUACUGGUGGUUUGCACUGUUGUCUGGCUCAGCAUCUUUCAUUAGCCCAAGGCCUCUGGACUUUGACCUUUUCAUUCAAGGCUGGGUUAUGUGCCAUUCCUUGGAUGGCUCCUGGCCUCUGAUGAUGGUUUUUUUGGGGGGAUUAGCUACUUUUUUUUUCUUUUUUCUUUUUUUCUUUUCAGGGCCACACCUAAGGCACAUGGAAGUACCCGGGCUAGGGACGGCACUAGAGCUGCAGCUGCUGGCCUACGCCCCAGCUGCAGAAAAGAAGAAUCUGAGCCAUGUCUGUGGCCUACACUGCAGCUCACGGCAAUGCCGGAUCCUUAACCCACUGAGCAAGGCCAGGGAUCGAACCCACAUCUCAUGGAUACGAAUCUGCUUCUUAAUCGGCUGAGUCAGACUGCAACUCCAGGUUUAGCCAUUUAAUAAUGUGAGCUGCUCUUUCACGGGGGGCUGGCUUCCAGGCCUUCCUGCAGGUGGGUGGGUCAGCGUACUUAACUUCAGAAUGGGGGGCAGGAGGGGUGGGGGCCCCUCCUUAAGCCCUGAGCACAUGCAGGGGGACAGCUGUUUGGGGGGAGUUUUAGGACAGAGGAGGAAAGCGAGGGUUUGGUUUGGAGGAGCACCAGGCGUGCUUCCUCCACAGUGAGAAAGAACAAAGCUGAGGAUGCCUCGCAUGGCUUCAAGGCACCGCUCACGCCCCUGCUGACCACGCCCUGGGAGCCAGGCCCCCCGGGUGGCUCAGUGACGCACCUGUGUGAUGCCCGCAGCACUGUCUCUAUGUCGCGUGGAGAGACAUUGAACCUGGAGAGACGCCCUUGUCUGAGGUCCUCUGGGCAAAUCCAGGGCAAAGCCAGGACGGGGCCGGGACUUGGAGAGGCCACGACACGCUCACGAUGGCCCCAGACACAGGCGCUGGCGCUCAGGCCAGGCCUCUCCGCAUCCGGCAUCGUGAAUUCACCCUGUGAAGUCACAGACCCACAACGAACUCCCCAGGGGACAUUCCAGGCUCGUUCCUAACCUUUUGAAAGUGAUGUCGCAGGAUGAAAACACCACCUCUGGUCACAAAAUGUCCCUUGUCAUUGCGAUCGGCGGCCACACAUACCUGGGCCACCAAAGGUCUAAUCCAGCAGGUGCUUUCAGAGGCUCUUUGGAAACGGGCCACUGUCACUGCGCACUCCAUGGACCUUCCUCCCCAGGACAAGCACCACUGACCCCGGCAGGUGAGGCAACGGCGCUCUGGCAGGACCACGUGCCAGCAGCAAAGAAGGGUCUCACUUCUCACGCGCGGCAAGAUCCGCCUCCGGCAUCCCCUGUAUUCAGACAUCUCCCCAGGGGACAGGACUGGACUUGCCUGGGGUCCCAGGACACAGGAACUGCACACCUCGGCUUCACUGAGUCCCUCAACAAACAUUUAAGGGGACCGACUAUGUGCUGGAUAAGUACCUGGGCUACCAAGACAAAAAGACAAACUGAAGUCUGCAGCCCGCCCACAAGCAUCCGGGGGACACUCAGGAGCCAGAGCGGAAAGCUCGCAUCAGGGGCGGACAGGGGAAGCCAAGCAGGUCCUCGCCCCCAGGGCCAGGCUGUGCUGGGAGUUUGAGCGUCGUCCUGCAGGCACUGAGCUUGGGAGAUGCUGGGUGCUUUCCUGGGCGGGGGCGGGGGGGGCAGGGUGAGCCACUGGCGCCCAGCUCUCUGCAGCGGGUGAUACCUGCUCUGUUCCUUCUGCAGACGUCUAAGGAGGGAGGCUGGGAUUUGGAAUGAUGAGCUGACCCAGUGCUCCCUCAUCCUACCGUCUCCAAAGGCAACGGAAACCAAGCACCUGUUCUCAGUGCCCCACGUAGGAGGCGGCACACCCACCCCUGCCCGUUCCAUCCCACACCCCCUUCCUUUAGAAGCUGGAGAAAUUGACAGUGGGGGGCAUAGCACGGGGCUUGACUCAGAAGAGGGAUUAUUGGCUCCGCGGGGACAGUCACGUGUCAACACCUGCUGUCCUGUAGGAACGGUACCCGAGGAAGCUGUUCCCACUUUUUCUCCCUCUUGUAGCUAAUAGCAAUUUCUGCUCUGAGGCUUUGAGUCUCUGCAAGGC